rnacentral:ncRNA from 1 species
CCAGACUCCUACGGGAGGCAGCAGUGGGGAAUAUUGCACAAUGGGCGCAAGCCUGAUGCAGCGACGCCGCGUGAGGGAUGACGGCCUUCGGGUUGUAAACCUCUUUCAGUAGGGAAGAAGCCUCUCGGGGUGACGGUACCUGCAGAAGAAGCGCCGGCUAACUACGUGCCAGCAGCCGCGGUAAUACGUAGGGGCGCAAGCGUUGUCCGGGAAUUAUUGGGCGUAAAGAGCUCGUAGGCGGUCUGUCGCGUCUGCUGUGAAAACGCGGGGGCUCAACCCCGCGCCUGCAGUGGGUACGGGCAGACUAGAGUGCGGUAGGGGAGACUGGAAUUCCUGGUGUAGCGGUGGAAUGCGCAGAUAUCAGGAGGAACACCGGUGGCGAAGGCGGGUCUCUGGGCCGUUACUGACGCUGAGGAGCGAAAGCAUGGGGAGCGAACAGGAUUAGAUACCCUGGUAGUCCAUGCCGUAAACGUUGGGCACUAGGUGUGGGACCCAUUCCACGGGUUCCGUGCCGCAGCUAACGCAUUAAGUGCCCCGCCUG